CCUACGGGAGGCAGCAGUGAGGAAUAUUGGUCAAUGGGCGCGAGCCUGAACCAGCCAAGUAGCGUGAAGGAUGACUGCCCUACGGGUUGUAAACUUCUUUUAUAAAGGAAUAAAGUGAGGCACGUGUGCCUUUUUGUAUGUACUUUAUGAAUAAGGAUCGGCUAACUCCGUGCCAGCAGCCGCGGUAAUACGGAGGAUCCGAGCGUUAUCCGGAUUUAUUGGGUUUAAAGGGAGCGUAGAUGGGUUGUUAAGUCGGUUGUGAAAGUUUGGGGCUCAACCGUAAAAGUGCAAUUGAUACUGGCAGCCUUGAGUACAGUUGAGGUAGGCGGAAUUCGUGGUGUAGCGGUGAAAUGCUUAGAUAUCACGAAGAACUCCGAUUGCGAAGGCAGCUUACUAAACUGCCACUGACAUUGAUGCUCGAAAGUGUGGGUAUCGAACAGGAUUAGAUACCCUGGUAGUC
rnacentral:rRNA from 1 species